rnacentral:rRNA from 1 species
UACGUAGGGUGCGAGCGUUAAUCGGAAUUACUGGGCGUAAAGCGUGCGCAGGCGGUUUUGUAAGCCAGAUGUGAAAUCCCCGGGCUUAACCUGGGAAUGGCAUUUGGGACUGCAAGGCUCGAGUGCGGCAGAGGAGACUGGAAUUCCUGGUGUAGCAGUGAAAUGCGUAGAUAUGCGGAGGAACACCGAUGGCGAAGGCAAUCCCCUGGGCCUGCACUGACGCUCAUGCACGAAAGCGUGGGGAGCAGACAGG